AACGAACGCUGGCGGCAGGCUUAACACAUGCAAGUCGAGCGCCCCGCUAGGGGAGCGGCAGACGGGCGAGUAACGCGUGGGAAUCUACCCAUCUCUACGGAAUAACGCAUGGAAACGUGUGCUAAUACCGUAUACGUCCUUCGGGAGAAAGAUUUAUCGGAGACGGAUGAGCCCGCGUUGGAUUAGCUAGUUGGGGGGGUAAAGGCCUACCAUGGCGGCGAUCCAUAGGUGGUCUGAGAGGAUGAUCAGCCACACUGGGACUGAGACACGGCCCAGCCGUGGGCGGGGGGCGGCAAUGGGGAAUAUUGGACAGUGGGCGCGCGCCUGAUCCGGCCAUGCCGCGUGGGUGAUGAAGGCCCGAGGGUGGUAAAGAACUUGCACCGGUGAAGAUAAUGACGGUAACCGGAGAAGAAGCCCCGGCUAACUUCGUGCCAGCCGCCGCCGUAACAC
rnacentral:rRNA from 1 species